rnacentral:rRNA from 1 species
UACGGGAGGCAGCAGUGGGGAAUAUUGCACAAUGGGCGAAAGCCUGAUGCAGCUAUGCCGCGUGUAUGAAGAAGGCCUUCGGGUUGUAAAGUACUUUCAGUCGUGAGGAAGGUGUUAAGGUUAAUAACCUUAGCAAUUGACGUUAGCGACAGAAGAAGCACCGGCUAACUCCGUGCCAGCAGCCGCGGUAAUACGGAGGGUGCGAGCGUUAAUCGGAAUUACUGGGCGUAAAGGGCACGCAGGCGGUUAAUUAAGUUGGAUGUGAAAUCCCCGGGCUUAACCUGGGAAUGGCAUUCAAGACUGGUUAGCUAGAGUCUUGUAGAGGGGGGUAGAAUUCCAUGUGUAGCGGUGAAAUGCGUAGAGAUGUGGAGGAAUACCGGUGGCGAAGGCGGCCCCUGGACAAAGAUUGACGCUCAUGUGCGAAAGCGUGGGGAGCGAAACAGGGAUUAGAUA